rnacentral:rRNA from 1 species
AGUGAACGCUGGCGGUAGGCCUAACACAUGCAAGUCGAACGGCAGCACAGUAAGAGCUUGCUCUUACGGGUGGCGAGUGGCGGACGGGUGAGGAAUACAUCGGAAUCUACUUUUUCGUGGGGGAUAACGUAGGGAAACUUACGCUAAUACCGCAUACGACCUACGGGUGAAAGCAGGGGAUCUUCGGACCUUGCGCGAUUGAAUGAGCCGAUGUCGGAUUAGCUAGUUGGCGGGGUAAAGGCCCACCAAGGCGACGAUCCGUAGCUGGUCUGAGAGGAUGAUCAGCCACACUGGAACUGAGACACGGUCCAGGCUCCUACGGGAGGCAGCAGUGGGGAAUAUUGGACAAUGGGCGCAAGCCUGAUCCAGCCAUACCGCGUGGGUGAAGAAGGCCUUCGGGUUGUAAAGCCCUUUUGCUGGGAAAGAAAAGCAGCAGGUUAAUACCCCGCUGUUCUGACGGUACCCAAAGAAUAAGCACCGGCUAACUUCGUG